AGAUUGAACGCUGGCGGCAGGCCUAACACAUGCAAGUCGAGCGGUAGAGGGGUGCUUGCAUCUCUUGAGAGCGGCGGACGGGUGAGUAAUGCCUAGGAAUCUGCCUAGUGGUGGGGGAUAACGUUCGGAAACGGACGCUAAUACCGCAUACGUCCUACGGGAGAAAGGCGGGGGACCUUCGGGCCUCGCGCCAUUAGAUGAGCCUAGGUCGGAUUAGCUAGUUGGUGAGGUAAUGGCUCACCAAGGCGACGAUCCGUAACUGGUCUGAGAGGAUGAUCAGUCACACUGGAACUGAGACACGGUCCAGACCUCCGUACGGGAGGCAGCAGGUGGGAAUAGUGGACAAGUGGGACGAAAGCCUAGAUCCCGAAGCCUAAUCGUCCGCGGUGUGGUA
rnacentral:rRNA from 1 species